UUGAGAAAUAAAACCAGCAGGCUCUGCUACUGAAACCGAGAGAUAUAGAGAAAUGGAUCAGAAUUGAGACAAAGAAGAUGAUGAUUUGAUGUUGUUGUUGAAGAAAGAAUUGGGGGUUUGAGUUAUUUUGGUGGGUUGAGACAAGGAUAAAAGGGGAUAUGAGAUUUACAGUAAUUGAAGAUUGAGAUCAACAGAUCGAUGGGUUGAAGUCGCUGUGGAUUAAGCAGCGAAGAAGAAAUGAGGGAAGAUGAAAGGUUGUGAUAUGAAGAACAUUCAAUAUCUGUCGUGAAUUAAAUGGAUUUUUAGUUUGAAUCUCAGUGCUGUGUUCUUGAACUUUACAUGAAGCAUCGAUGUUGUUGAGUCAAAUUGAGCAGAAAUUGAAGAUGGGUCUGAGACAAAUCGAGACAGAGAUGAGUUCGAGACGAAAAUGGAAUCAAGGGUUUUAUUGAGCUGCAAUUGAGAUGGGUUAGGCUUCGAUAUGUAUAAGAGAAUGGAUCGGAGUAGUUGAGUUUAUGUUGUUGAUGUUACAGGAAGAGAUUGGAGUUGAUAGAAGGGUUCAAAGCUUGUGACGAAGUAAAUAUGGUUGCAGCUACUGAUUGAAGCAUCAGCAAGGAGAUGUUGAUGCUGUUGAAGUUUAGAGACACUGAAUUUACAGCCGUGAAGGAGUAAAUGUAGAAGAUGCAGUGAGUUGUUUAUGGUGCUGAGUUGAUGUUGCAGGUGAGAAUGCAAUAGUGUGCAAGAGUGAAUGCCUGAAUGAAUAGAUGAAUGUUUAGGCUUGUUACAGGGGAGAAGAAUGGCAUGAAAUCGGCCUGAGAAUAGUCGUAAAAACAGAGGAAACUCUGUAUGAUUCAAUGUAGUCAAUUUCGUCCAUACCGGCCGAAAUAUCGGCGAUAUUACCGGUAUCGGACACUGAGCGAUACGGAAAUCCCGAUAUCGCAAAACGAUUUUUGUGCCGAUAAUACCGUCCGAUACGGUAAAUACAGUACACCGAUAAUAUCGUAUUAUCGGCGAUAUUUGUCAUUUGCUGUAAUUUCUGAGGGCAUUUUCGGGAUUAUAAGAGAAGGGAAGAGAUUUAAUCCCUAAAUCCCAUCGAUACGCAAAGGGUAGAGAGUUGAUUUUACAAAUUUCGUUGCAGGUUCUUCUUCUCUAUUUUAAUGGCGAGAUUCAGUUGAUUCUAUCUUAACAAGAGGUCCAAGGGAAGAUACAUCUUAUAUGCAUAUCCAGCAAAGGCAAAGUCGCUGAAGAAACAUCAAAACAGUUCAUCUAGCAACUGGGUUGUGAUUAUGGAUUCUUCUAAUGCAUCAAAUUCAAAUACGGCAAACACUACCUGUGAUUUAUUGCCCUCUUCUUCGGCUACUCAAACUAAAGAUCCAGCAUGGGAAUGGGGUGAACGCCAAGACCUAGCAAAUCAAAAUAUAAUUACUUGUUUGUUAUGUAAGAAAUUAAUUCGUGGUGGUGGAAUUACUAGGCUUAAGGAGCAUCUUUUACAUAUUAAAGGGAAUGUUUCUUCAUGUCCAAAUGUGUCCAUUGAUAUUAUGAACAAAGUUGGUCUGGUGAAUUCUGUAAAGAGGACCAAAAAAGCUCAUAAGGAUAACAUUGAUUUAGCGUAUCGGCGUGCAAACAACUCAGAUGAAGCCUCUGAUGCUGAUACCGAUGUUGAAGAACAAGAAGUUGAAAUUGAUGGCAAUAUGGGCAGU